UUGAAAAUAUUUACUGGGUUUGGAAUAACAAAAUUUAAACUUUUAUUAACGAAGAACUCAUUCGACUUCAGAUCUUUUAUUAUUGACAGUCGUAUAAAAAUACAGUGAAAAAAGUUCAACCGGAUGUUUAAGCAGUUUUGAAACAAUAUGUCGUCCUAAAGCAAAGUGGCCCACCAAGUGCUUGAUGGCGAUGCGAGAAAAGAACAAAAACAGACGGAACUUCUCCCAGGAUGGCCCAAAUGACACCACUUUGCAAGAUGGAAAUAGGAGUAUGGUGCAAGCGAACCGAACUAAUAACAUUCUACAUGAUCAGCAAAGUAAUAUAUUCUCAGGAGGAGCACUACUGGGAGGAAGACAAUCACGAGACACACAGCCGACACAGCCGCAUAUUUCAAGAAGUUUAUCAAGAAGAACAUCUUUUC